AAUGAAGAAACUUUAGGGACACUUUAGAAGUAACUUAAAAUAAAUUGAAAAAUAAAAUAAGGUUUUUCAAUUAGGUCAUUCUACGGUUUUGUAAAUAGACUAGAAAUUUAUCACCAUCUCUAUAGAAUGGUAGAUUAUUGCUAUCUCUAUUUCCUUUAAUGUAUAAUCAUAACGAACUUUUUUCACCAAAAUUAUGCCAUGGUUGAAGGUAUUACCGAAAAUAUUUAAAUUAGCACAAAGUCAGAUUAUUUUCUUAAAUGAAAUUCCAUAUCAAUUUUUUUAAAAUGAAAAUGUGUUUUUGCUCAUAUAACCUCUCGUAAUGUUUUUUUAGAGCUUUUAAGCCUCUAACCUUCUUCUUCUCCUCUUUAUGGCGAGCUAAAACAGCUAAACUGCCAAAAAGCCUCUAACCAACACAUGACAGAGAAGUAAAAUGACACACCUUUAAAUUGCACUCUCUGCGUACGUUAAAACUCCUCACGAUAAAACCCUUAUUCUCAAGUUUGUGUUCAGUCCCAUUUUGCUCUUCCGUUACAAAAUGAGUUUUCAAAAAUUUUAUCGAAUUUUUAUUUUAUUUUGCCUAGAAAAGUUUCCAAAAAAUUAUUAUCCAAGGUUUAUAAUUUAUUGUUUUGAUUUUUCUCUAACCUAUAACUCAGGACUAACAAUUCGUGGAGGCCGAAAUUCACAUAGCAACAUAGGCUUGUAUCAAACAAGAUUACUUAGGGGAUUAAGCUUCCCAUAUUUGGAUAUUGCUUAUUUUCAGUGAUGUUUACAUUUUCCUACGAGAUUGUUUUGGAUUUUUUUUAUUAAUUCAUAGUUGAAUAUUUAGAUAAUUUGUUUCUUUUUUCUGGAUUAUGGUUGACUUGAUUUAACUUGAUUCAACAACUAUAAAUAGGAUUUACAAACAGAUUGUCAAGCUAAUGACUGAGCAUUGUGAGAGCGCUUAUUGAAGGGGAUCUGAAUAUCACAACAGUUUCUAAAAUUGUGGAGGAUCAUCUGGCUAUCGAACUGAUAUCCAAACCGCAACACACCGGUGACGAUAUUGUAACUCUGACUGCCUUCAGAAUCUAACGUACCCCCUUUAUGAGGACAUCACAUCAGUUGUAUUGUAACCCAAGAACAGAAGACGUUAUUUUUAAAGGAUCCGAUUAUUCGCAAAUUUCUUUUUUGUUCAGCUUGCCGAUCUCGUUUGAAGGCUGAUGAUUCGGGAGUAAUGGAAACAUUAUCCAUGGAAGAAGUUUUUGUGUUGCGGGAGAAAACCGUGGUUUUGAACUUCAUGCAUGCUCGUUCUUCCAGAACAGGUUUGAGCAAGAACGAAUCCAUCAUGCGUUGAGGACAUUUUGAAGAAAGGAAUGUUGCCGGUUAUUUUCGGUUGUGAUGUUCCGAAUACUGCUGAUCGCCCUAAUAAGGGUUUGGAUUUUAACCAAUUGUUAGCUAACAUUCCCUUUUUAUGUUCAAGAAAUUGAAAACAGUUAGCAUGUACCGAUGCAUAGAAAAUUCUCGAUCGUGGAAAUCAUUAAAACUGACGUUUAUCAGAACAAACAUCAUUGGUAGUGGCCGCAGGUUACUGGAGGAUGGAACAAGAUUCGUGAUAGUGUAAAUUGUGUAGGUGUAGAAUUGAUUUGAUUUUGCAUGUAUUUAGUGAGUGGAUUUCAUUGUAAAUAAAUGUUCUUAUAAAGGCAAAU